UCCUGUGAGGAUUACCUGACCCACCUGAAUCAGCUGCCCCUGUGUGUCGUUGACUUUGUGUAUUUAGUGUGUUUCUCUGUCUUCGGUGACAGUUCAUCUCGACAGCCUGUGAGUUUUCAGAGAUAAUUCCUUGUGUAUUUAAUCUCUUAUGUUUUUUUAGCUGUACUUUAAAUGUGGGGGAUUUUGGAUACCUCUACAUGAUGUCACUGCCAACCUGUAUAACUACCUGAUGCCACUGGCACGCAGGCCACUGGGCUCAGAAGAUUGGACUGCCAGCCCGUCUGCAGGCAAGUGUGUGUCGGGGAGUGUGUGGGUGGGCGUGUGUGCCAGAGAAGAUACUAUUCCAAACGGGAGGCAAGGGUACAGUAAACUUUUUGGAGCUGACAACACGAGACGGUUAAAUGGAAAGAUGAGGUGUCAGAUAUUGCAACAGCGACAAGAGGAAAACAAAGCAUUCAAAGUUUCAUUGCGAAAAGCAACAAUGGGUUCUUGUUAACAGCCGGUUUGAUUGUCUGACUCGUUGCCUUCUUGGAGCGUGAUAAACAAUGUCGUCACCUUCCCCAAACUCCGCUGUUAAGUUGUGCUGAUGAACCGUGGCCGUGUGAGUGCAGAACACUACGAUGUUGAGAAAAGAUGUUGAAAUGUUCAGACAGAUACACAGACGGAUGAGGCCUUUCUGUGAGGCGACUGGAUCUUCUCCCUGUGUCCGUGUGGGCUUCCUCCAGGUUCUCUGGCUUCCUCCCACAAAGACACGCAGGUUAAUUGGAGACUAUGGCAGCGCUAUAGAAAAGUCAAAACAAUCUAAUUUGCUGACCGCUAUUCCUUGACCCAAAUGGAAGCAACAUGAGGUCAAGAAACGAGUUGGGGAAGGAGAACCGCAGUGUGAAGUAAAUCCGACUCCACUUACACUCUGUGUUUUUACUUUAUUUAUAACAGAAGUUACGUACAGACCAUAGACUGUACGCUACAGUGAAAACCUCUGUGCUGUACGCCUACAAUGUUUCCUGUCCAAAGCUCCAAUAAAAGAUGUUUUCAGUUUA